AGCGAACGCUGGCGGCAGGCUUAACACAUGCAAGUCGAGCGGGCAUCUUCGGAUGCCCGCGGCAGACGGGUGAGUAACACGUGGGAACGUACCCUUCGGUUCGGAACAACUCUGGGAAACUGGAGCUAAUACCGGAUACGCCCUUAUGGGGAAAGGUUUACUGCCGAAGGGUCGGCCCGCGUCUGAUUAGCUAGUUGGUGGGGUAACGGCCUACCAAGGCGACGAUCAGUAGCUGGUCUGAGAGGAUGAUCAGCCACACUGGGACUGAGACACGGCCCAGACUCCUACGGGAGGCAGCAGUGGGGAAUAUUGGACAAUGGGCGCAAGCCUGAUCCAGCCAUGCCGCGUGAGUGAUGAAGGCCUUAGGGUUGUAAAGCUCUUUUGUCCGGGACGAUAAUGACGGUACCGGAAGAAUAAGCCCCGGCUAACUUCGUG
rnacentral:rRNA from 1 species